GGUGUGAUUUGAAGUUCCCUUUCAAUAUGUGAUGCAGCAGCUAAAGCAAUUGCUUCAUCUGGGAGCUGGUUCAUUGCAGCUGAUAGACCUGUAGGAUGAGUAAGUCGCGUAAUACCUAGGCGCUUAAGCCUAUACAGGCCAGCUUGCAUGCUUUCAUAUGCACAUACACUUUCCGGCGAAACUAGUCUCCUCAAUUCCUCCUCGGAUGGUAUCCGAAAAUUGAACCUCAUAACCCAUUGGAACUGUCCAUUUGAUCUUCU
rnacentral:misc_RNA from 1 species